UCCUGGUGUAUUUUAAUGGAAUUUCCAGCUCUCUGGUGUCUGAGAGCAGCUAAAAAUAGCAAAAGAUGUGAGUCUUACCAGGACGUUGUGGAUUUUUAUUCGGAGCCCUAAAUCUUGCGCUCAUGCAGAGACACAUACACACACCCACACACCCACAUAAGCUUCAUUGCUGUUAGGGGAGAGGGCUACCAAGUGAGGGAAUGGGCGACCAGUUCUGACCGGCCCUUAUCUCUCUUGUGAUGCAGUGGGGGGCAACAAAAUAGGUUUUAGGGAUGAAAGAAAUGACUAUUUGGGCACUGCUUUUGCAAACUGCAGCGAGGAACAGGAUGGCUAACUGGUUGAUUGAGACCUGCAGUCCGUCAAAGAAAAUGCAAUACAGCGAUGUCCCUGUCAGUCUGUCUGUCCAGUCAAUCUAUGUAACUAACCAGUUUCCCCAGGAAGAAAGCACCAUAUUUGGCUUGACCACAGAGUAGAUACCCAUCCCAGGAUUAAUCCUUUUUCCAGCUACAAAGAGAAAAACUUAACUAAACAACCCUUGCAAACACAGCAAGCUACCAAUUUGCCUCAGCCAUUGGUGGGUGACUCUUCCCAAAGCUGGUUCCUUAGACCACUCAUAUUUUUCCUAGGAAUCGUCUGGUGUUCUCCACACACACGCUAUGGACCGGAGAUUAGCCACAUCAUCUGCAGCUGUUGGGGUCCCCACAGUGGAUGAGGGAGAAUAACUCUUGUUGGUUUUUGGAGAAGGGGCAGGUAGCAUCCCCCUGCUUAGCCAGAAUGUUGUGCCCAUCCCUGAUGAAGCUGUUGCUGACAUUAAAAAUCCUGUUUGCCUCAACUUUCCUGUCAAAAAGAAAUAAUAUAUUAAACAUGCAUCUUCUCCUUCACCUGUGUCACCGGACAGGAGUAGUUUAUUAAGUCUGGAAAAGGGUGUUAUAUAGGCUUUUGACCAUUCUCAUCAGGUGCUUUCUGGUAAAAGAAAAAGGGAUUCCACUUUUAUUGAAGAGGUUAAAGAAACUGAAUUUGGUGAGGAUUGUCAUGGGACAGAUACAUUCUUUUCUUCAAAGAUUUCAUUCUGAUUCAGACAGAGGACAAUAUGUUAUCUGAUUCUCCCUGUCAAGGAUUCUCUUUCUCUGAAACUAUUUCUAGAAUAUGCCAGUGUUUCAGUGAGAAAACAUUGAUGUUUCUCAGUCCCUCUAAAGAUACUAUGGACUGUUACAACUGGAUUUUCCAGAGCUUCCUCCCAAUCCCCCAGUGCCCAUAGCAUUAGAGGAGGUGUUUGUCACAGCCUGUGGGUUCCCUGAUAGCCAACUUGCUGCUCAUAAGAAAAAUCUAGAAUGUACAAAGCUCAUCAGUUUUUCUGAACGGACCUGUGCUGGUCCUUGCUGCACAUAAGAAAGAGCUAGAAUGUACAAAGUUCUCCUGUCUUUCUGAACUGGACCUUUGCUGGUAACAACACUUCAGGGAGUAUUACAGUCAACACCGGAGUACCCCAGGGCUGUGUGCUGAGUCCUCUACUGUUCACAAUCCUUACCCAUGACUGCUCUGCGAAAGCUAGCAACAACCACAUCAUCAAAUUUGCAGAUGACACCACAGCGGUGGGACUAAUAAGUGCUGAUGACAAGAGUGUAUAUAGGAAUGUGGUCAACUCCCUGACUGAAUAGUGCACUAACAAGAAUUUGGACCCAAACAUCAAUAAAACAAAAUAAAUUAUUAUUGACUUCAGAAAGAGCUCUGCCAUGCAUCUGCCCCUCAAG